GAGGGGAAAAUAAAGAAUAAGAGUUACAUCAGAAGAAAUGGACUAUAAGUACUGAGACUUGAACCCAGGACUUCACACAUCUUAGAUGUCUUAGGGACUGGAUGUGCAGCUCAGUGGCAAGAGCACUUGCUUAUCACAUGAGAGGCCUUUGGUUGGAUCCCAACACCUGCCUACCCUACCCCACAUGCAGAAGAUGUCUUUCAUAGAACCCAAGCAUCAAAAGUACCCAGAGGUAUGAUUUUAAAAGAUUAUGUAUUUACAUAUACACAUAUACACCACAGUACACUUCUUCCAAAUUUCAGUCAAAUGAUUCUAAGCAAAAUUUUCAAAUCAGUUUUAGAAGAUAGAAACAGAAUGGUGAUAUUUUUAAUGCCAACUAUUGAUAUUGCAUACUUAAAACCACUAUAGAUGAAAUUUCUUCCAGACUCAAAUCAUUAAAGUAUAUGAGAACAGUCCUAGCUGCUUUUUGUAAGUCUAGACAUUUACUAAAAGUAACCUUUUAAAACAGACAUGUUUUUUCUACUUUUCAAAUUUAGGAAGCAAUACAUGUGUCUUAUUAAAGCUGUUCAUCAGGAAGUUUAUCUUAUUCCUUGGAAGCAAGGGGAUGGGUCAUCUAAUGAGCAUGAUGCUUCAUAUAUUUUCAGGAAUAAUUGUUGGAGAACUCUAUUAAGUGGUCUUUGUUCAAACUAUAGUUUAAAAUAUACCAACAUGCUUUUGAGUUCAGAAAUUUGAAUUUCUUCUUUUGAGAUUAUGUGUUUAUUAGUACUUAGGGAUAUUUAAUGUGGGAAGUGCCAUGAUUACAUUUUAUUCUAAUGUCAGUGCCCCUAUGUGUUUAUAAGAUCUCUUGUAGAAUGGAGUUGAGUACAUCUUAUAUUUGUUGGGUUCACUAGAAAAGAACAUACACUUUUUACCCUAUUUCAAAGGGUUAUCAUAUUUGAAUUAGUAGAAGCAGAGAUUAGACAUAUUACUAUUGUGAGCUGAAUGAAGUACAGACUUAGUUGAAUCAUUUUGAGGAGGCUGACAUAAUGUCUUCUGCCCUGUUCUACACCUGCUGUGGUUGUCUAUGAUCAGAUGUCUGGCCUGGAGAAUUUUUUGACACUGGAGACUUAACCCAAGGUCUUGCACAUGGUAGGCAAGCACUUAGCUACAUACAUCCCCAGCCCUUUUUGAAACUUUAUUUUGAGGCAGGGUCUUGCUAAAUUGCCCAAGGAGCCCUCAAAUUUGCAAUCCUCCUGCCUUAGUCUCUCAAGUAGCUGAGAUUACAGAUGUGUGUCAAAGUGUCUGACUUGUCCUGAAGGAUUUUGAUGUUGGGAUAAUAUGUUUCCAACAUAUUCAUAAUUUCCUAAGAUAGACUAUAUUCACUUUCUUGUUACUAGUCAGUAAAUCCUUCUUGUUGUUUUGAUAGUCUGCUUAAUGUGAAUGUACUUUACAAUGUGACACUGCUGUUCAUGAUAGUCUAGCUGUGCAAGCUGUGGUAGUUCACAAUAGUAAGGAGUGUAUUUUGAUUUUGAUAGUCUGAACUAUGUUUCCAGUCAACAUGUUUCCUAGGAGUAGUGAUUAUUUAUUUUAUAUCUGAUUACACAAGAGUUUGGGCAUCCAGUUCUUUGUGGCUUCUAGAAGGUCUAGUGUUUUCCUACAUCAUAGUAGCAUCUAAGGUCACUCCUGACAGAGCUGCCACCUGGGCUCCUCCUCACAUCUCACCACUUCCUGCAGGACAUCACAGAAGAAAUGGAUGCUGGUGUCCUUUUAAACUCUUCUGCUUGGGAGGCAUCACUUAUGGUGGUUGCAAUUUCCAUUUACCUUUUUCUUUUAUUUGAGUAUUUGUCCCAAACAAUAUUUGAUUCUAUUGCUGCUAAAGGGUAUGCAUAGAAGCAAAAAAGACAAAGAUUCUUUUGGAUAAAGGAUCCAAAUUCACAGUGAGUCAAUUUAUCAUCAUAACUUUUUUUUUUACAAAGUCACUCUUCUGAGAAAAUUUAGCCAUAAAUUGAAAUAGUCUCCAAAAUGUUAUUUUUUUCUCUAAAGUGAUCAGGUUUUUAGAAGACUCAGGACCUGGUGACAGCAUAAAAAAAUAAUAAGUUUGCACAUAUGUUAUUACUUCAACAUAAACCAUGUAAAAUAGGCACAUAUCUUGAGUAAAAUAUUUGAAUUAUUUAAUUUUGUAUCAUAAUAAAUUUAAUUUUGUGUUUAUAAUAAAAUAUAGAACUGAG